rnacentral:rRNA from 1 species
GAAUUCACUAGUGAUUUGGCGGCGUGGUUAAGACAUGCAAGUCGAACGAGAGAAUUGCUAGCUUGCUAAUAAUUCUCUAGUGGCGCACGGGUGAGUAACACGUGAGUAACCUGCCCCCGAGAGCGGGAUAGCCCUGGGAAACUGGGAUUAAUACCGCAUAGUAUCGAAAGAUUAAAGCAGCAAUGCGCUUGGGGAUGGGCUCGCGGCCUAUUAGUUAGUUGGUGAGGUAACGGCUCACCAAGGCGAUGACGGGUAGCCGGUCUGAGAGGAUGUCCGGCCACACUGGAACUGAGACACGGUCCAGACACCUACGGGUGGCAGCAGUCGAGAAUCAUUCACAAUGGGGGAAACCCUGAUGGUGCGACGCCGCGUGGGGGAAUGAAGGUCUUCGGAUUGUAAACCCCUGUCAUGUGGGAGCAAAUUAAAAAGAUAGUACCACAAGAGGAAGAGACGGCUAACUCUGUGCCAGCAGCCGCGGUAAUACAGAGGUCUCAAGCGUUGUUCGGGAUCACUGGGCGUAAAGCGUGCGUAGGCUGUUUCGUAAGUCGUGUGUGAAAGGCGCGGGCUCAACCCGCGGACGGCACAUGAUACUGCGAGACUAGAGUAAUGGAGGGGGAACCGGAAUUCACGGUGUAGCAAAUCGAAUUCCCG